rnacentral:rRNA from 1 species
GACGAACGCUGGCGGCGUGCUUAACACAUGCAAGUCGAACGGUAAGGCCCUUUCGGGGGUACACGAGCGACGAACGGGCGAGUAACACGCAGGUGAUUUACCUUCCACUUUGGGAUAGGCCACGGCAACUAAGUCUAAUACAGACCAGGACUACGCGCUGCCUGCCGUGUGGUGGAAAGCUUUUGCGGUUGGGGAUGGGCCCGCGGCCUAUCAGCUUGUUGGUGGGGUGAUGGCUUACCAAGGCGACGACGGGUAGCCGGCCUGAGAGGGUGUCCGGCCACACUGGGACUGAGAUACGGCCCAGACUCCUACGGGAGGCAGCAGUGGGGAAUAUUGCACAAUGGGCGCAAGCCUGAUGCAGCGACGCCGCGUGGGGGAUGACGGCCUUCGGGUUGUAAACCCCUUUCAGCACAGACGAAGCGUAAGUGACGGUAAGGGCAGAAGAAGCACCGGCCAACUACGUG